rnacentral:lncRNA from 1 species
CGAUGGUCGAACUUCCUCUGCGGCUGGGCUGUCUACGGUCGGCACGUCCGCCGAAGGCGAAGGGUAUUCUUUUAUUGCUAUCUGUUCCUCCUGUAAGAGUUGUGCUCCGUUUCGUCUAUUAAAGGCGUCAAGCAAGAAUUGCAUGCUUGGCGGAUAUUCUAAAUUUAGGGGGAGAACAAGGGCGACUCUUGCUUUUCUUCCUGUUUCCAUCCGUCGUGCUUCACUUAGUUCAAGCAUCUCUAAGAUGACGGAUGAGUCCGCAAUUUUAAUUGACGGGGUGGACGAGGGAGUCGGAGGUGGUCACUCUACCUCCCAUUCCGGACCUGUGAACUCGUCGGCCCAUCCAGCGUUCAUUUUUUAAAAGAUGUAACUCUCGGGAAGAACCUGCAGGAGGAAAUGCGUUUGAGAGAGGAAUAUUUAAUUUUAUGAUAACGUACCUAAAAUAUAUAUAUUUUUUCUUUUUAGCGAGAAGUGGUUUCUUCAGAUAAGGUCCGUGUGAUGGACCUGAUAUGCUUCAUAAUUAAAUUGAGGGCUACGUUUCCCCUCUCUAUUAGGCACGCCAAUUCCUCUGUUCCAAUACGGACGCCAUCAUUUUCUUUUCGUAGUUGAUACAGGUUCGCGUACACCCCCCUCUAACAGGAGCUUCGACAUGUCUGUUUUCGGCCAUAAUGGAAUGAUACCUGAAAUCUAUGAGAGUGCCACCUCUUCUGUACGUAUUAGUAGGAUAUGUCCAGCUGUGUAUGACCAUAGAUAGAUAGCUUUUAUAUUAUAAUAAUAAAGUACUAGCUGAACCCGUGCGAAUAGUUCGCAUAGGAUUGGAAGGUUUAUAUAUUAAAAUAAUUUUAGGUAACAUUUGAACUCACCUGCCGACGGCGAGCGCGUCCAGUCGCAACUUGUAUUCAGCGCCGCCUGAAGGAUCAUGGCGAAAUAGCCGAUUGCGUGUUUCGAUGUUCUGCGUGUGCACGCAGGCGUCUGUUAUCGAAACGAACCUGCAAAACAAAAAACCCGUUAGACUAGUUGCCAUGUGAAGAGCGGCCCCAGCGUCCGCGGACAGGCACCUCGUGGCGCGAAGAGGAUAUACAGCCCGGCCAUACUCAUCUUCCCGGGCCCCCGCACGCUGUGGUUCAUAGUUUUGUGUGCGGCGAACCCGAGCUGUUCGCACUUCAGAUAUUGCGGAGCGCUGUCCCUUAUGAUGGUGGACCCAGGGGCUAUAUAUUCAUACAUGUACGACCAUAGGCUCAUAUCGAUUUGCUCGUCAUUUAAUCUCUGCCCCACCUAAAAGGUACUACAGAGUUAUCAAAGCCUCGGCAUAAUCAUAGCCUGCCACUCGGGUGCGGUCUCGCCUGCC